CUCCAGAGUGAUGAGUUGCACCAGUGGGUGGGGUGGCUCUGCAGUGGCGGAUCUGCUCCACACUGACUCCUGACGAUAAGCAUAAGUGCACAGGGGCCAUCUGACUGGA
ensembl:snoRNA small nucleolar RNA SNORD67